GGCAGGGUAGCUCAGGUGGUUAGAGCAGGCGAAUCAUAACCGUCAGGUCGUCGGUUCAACUCCGACCCCUGCCA
rfam:Microgenomates bacterium 39_6 MPI_scaffold_2335, whole genome shotgun sequence.